CCUACGGGUGGCAGCAGUGAGGAAUAUUGGUCAAUGGGCGCGAGCCUGAACCAGCCAAGUAGCGUGAAGGAUGACUGCCCUACGGGUUGUACACUUCUUUUAUAAAGGAAUCAAGUGAGGCCCGUGUGCCUUUUUGUAUGUCCUUUAUGAAUAAGGAUCGGCUAACUCCGUGCCAGCAGCCGCGGUAAUACGGAGGAUCUGAGCGUUAUCCGGAUUUAGUGGGUUUAAAGGGAGAGUAGAUGGGUUGUUAGGUCAGUUGUGAAAGUUGGCGGCUCGACCGUAAAAGUGAAAUUGAGACUGGCAGCCUUGAGUACAUUUGAGGUAGGCGGAAUUCGUGGUGUAGCGGUGAAAUGCUUAGAUAUCACGAAGAACUCCGAUUGCGAAGGCAGCUUACUAAACUGCCACUGACAUUGAUGCUCGAAAGUGUGGGUAUCAAACAGGAUUAGAUACCCUUGUAGUC
rnacentral:rRNA from 1 species